AACGAACGCUGGCGGCAUGCCUAACACAUGCAAGUCGAACGAUUGCCUUCGGGUGAUAGUGGCGCACGGGUGCGUAACGCGUGGGAAUCUGCCCUUAGGUUCGGAAUAACAGCUGGAAACGGCUGCUAAUACCGGAUGAUAUCGCGAGAUCAAAGAUUUAUCGCCUGAGGAUGAGCCCGUGUUGGAUUAGGUAGUUGGUGGGGUAAAGGCCUACCAAGCCGACGAUCCAUAGCUGGUCUGAGAGGAUGAUCAGCCACACUGGGACUGAGACACGGCCCAGACUCCUACGGGAGGCAGCAGUGGGGAAUAUUGGACAAUGGGCGCAAGCCUGAUCCAGCAAUGCCGCGUGAGUGAUGAAGGCCCUAGGGUUGUAAAGCUCUUUUACCCGGGAAGAUAAUGACUGUACCGGGAGAAUAAGCCCCGGCUAACUCCGUG
rnacentral:rRNA from 1 species